rnacentral:rRNA from 1 species
GACGAACGCUGGCGGCGUGCCUAACACAUGCAAGUCGAACGGGCGAGGAGGAGCUUGCUUCUCCAAGUCAGUGGCGGACGGGUGAGUAACGCGUGAGUAACCUGCCCUUCAGAGGGGGAUAACGUCUGGAAACGGACGCUAAUACCGCAUGACAUAUUUCCAUCGCAUGGUGGAGAUAUCAAAGGAGCAAUCCGCUGAAGGAUGGACUCGCGUCCGAUUAGAUAGUUGGCGGGGUAACGGCCCACCAAGUCGACGAUCGGUAGCCGGACUGAGAGGUUGAACGGCCACAUUGGGACUGAGACACGGCCCAGACUCCUACGGGAGGCAGCAGUGGGGGAUAUUGCACAAUGGGCGAAAGCCUGAUGCAGCAACGCCGCGUGAGGGAAGACGGUUUUCGGAUUGUAAACCUCUGUUCUAAGUGACGAACAAAUGACGGUAGCUUAGGAGAAAGCCCCGGCUAACUACGUGCCAGCAGCCGCGGUAAUACGUAGGGGGCAAGCGUUGUCCGGAAUUACUGGGUGUAAAGGGAGCGCAGGCGGAGAAGCAAGUCAGUGGUGAAAACGAUGGGCUUAACUCAUCGACUGCCAUUGAAACUGUUUCCCUUGAGUGAAGUAGAGGCAGGCGGAAUUCCGAGUGUAGCGGUGAAAUGCGUAGAUAUUCGGAGGAACACCAGUGGCGAAGGCGGCCUGCUGGGCUUUAACUGACGCUGAGGCUCGAAAGUGUGGGGAGCAAACAGG